AGAAUCAACGCUGGCGGCGUGCCUAACACAUGCAAGUCGAACGAGAAAGUGGAGCAAUCCAUGAGUAAAGUGGCGCACGGGUGAGUAACACGUGACUAACCUACCCUUGAGUGGGGAAUAACUUCGGGAAACCGAGGCUAAUACCGCAUAACACCUACGGGUCAAAGGAGCAAUUCGCUUAAGGAGGGGUCGCGGCAGAUUAGCUAGUUGGCGGGGUAAUGGCCCACCAAGGCAGUGAUCUGUA
rnacentral:rRNA from 1 species